rnacentral:tRNA from 1 species
AGGGGUGUAGCUCAGCAGCACAGCACCUGCCUGGCAAGCAUGAGGUCGUGAGUUUGACUCUCAAUAUCCCCC